GGUCCACUAUAUGUGCCACUUUAAAUUAGAAGCUCUACUGGUUCAUCCUCAGCACUACUCUUGCCCAAACCCACACCAGUCUCCGCCAGCAGCAUGUCCAGUACCUCUGGCUCUAACCACUCAUAACUUCAAAAAUCCAAUAAUAAGUAUACUCAGUCAGUAUGAUCAACCCAACACACAGCUGCACUAGCAUACAUGCUCCUAAAUUACAAAAUCCUCGCCUCUCUCACAAAUCACUCAAUAUAGGAGAGAAUAAGUGUUCGCUCUUAACCUACAUGAAAAAGAACACAUCCCUAUUAAUAAAGUAUUUUAAGAUACAUUUUAUCCACCUUCCGAAAGGUCCCACACAGGUAAUCCUUUCUAUAUACGGAAAUAGAUGAAAAGUUAAAAAAAUGACACAACAGCCAACUAAAUCUAACUGGAUAUGUAAACGAUUCACACGGUAUAGUUACAGUUAGUGGGGAAAGAGUGAAGAAAUACGAUUAGCAGAAGCACUCAAUUUCAGGCAUUUUUCACUUUAGAGGGCAACUUUAGUGGAAGUCGCACUAGUGAACCCAUCCUUUAAACACUUUUCAAGAAAAUGAUCCAAGCACCAAAACCACUAUAGUCCACUGCAGUUGUUAUGGUGCCAGGAAUGUCCUAGUUCUCUCUCAUAGAAAGUAGUCAAACCAUUUGUGAACGAUCUAAUAAAUUGCGUGGUGUUCCCUGGAUUCUGGUGACAAUCCCCAGCAGAGUCUGAAGCACCUUCACAAUGCUUCUAUGAAAUCUCCUGAACUAAGCCCUGCAUUAAGGGACCUACACAUUGAGCACUCUCAGUAAACAUUGUCUGAGAGCAUCAGCUGACCACUCUCGGUAUAUUCUUCAGACUGGAACUCAAACAUAAGCCCUAGAAAAAAAACUAUUUCUGCGAAAGAGUUUUAGCUUUUACAUAAAGUGCACAACUAUUUACAGCAGCAGAGGCCCCACACGUGUCUAGAAGCAGACACUUGUUUUCCAUCUUGGAAAGCUAUUUCUAAGUUGUUUCCCAUCUUGGAAAGCCAAACGACCACCCUGAUGCAUGGACCAACUUAAAACAAAACUGAAAAGUUGGAAAAGAAAAACAUUGCAUUGAACAAUUUACCCACUAAGCACAAGGCGAGGUAUCUGUUUUUACCCAAUGUUGCAUUUUUUUUUGUACACUUAAAGCUGACUUGUCAUUUUUGUGUUUUUCAAAGAGCUACAAGCUUUAUGAAAACAUACAAGUAUAUUGCAUUGCAAUGGCAGUGAAUU